AGUCAAGAAAGCAAGGGCACAAGGUGGAUGCCUUGGCACAUGAAGGCGAAAAAGGACGUAAGUGAACGAAAACUAGGGUAAGCUCACAAAAAGCAUUGACCCCUAGGUCUCCGAAUGGGGCAACCCGGUUGUGGAAGACACAAUCAUUACUAAGUGAAUACAUAGCUUAGUAAGGCGAUACCCUGCGAACUGAAACAUCUAAGUAGCAGGAGGAAAAGAAAGAAACAUCGAUUUUCUAAGUAGCGGCGAGCGAACGGAAAAGAGCCUAACUCAUAAGCGAUUUAAUAAUGUUAGUCAAAUUAUCUGAAAAGAUAAACCAAAGAAAGUGAAAGUCUUGUAGACGAAAACAUUAAUAAACGAGAGGGAAAGUAUCACCGGGCACGAGUAACCCGGUGUGAAGAUAGGGGGCCCAUCCCCUAAGGCUAAAUACUAACAUGUGACCGAUAGUGAACAAGUACCGUGAGGGAAAGGUGAAAAGAACCCCGAAAGGGGAGUGAAAUAGAACCUGAAACCUAGUGCCUACAAGCAGACAGAGCGUGAGCGAACGUGAUGUCGUACCUUUUGUAGAAUGGGCCAGCGAGUUAUUCUAAAUUGCAAGGUUAAUGAUUUAAGAUCAGAAGCCGUAGCGAAAGCGAGUCUUAAUAGGGCGAAAGUAAGUUAGAAUAGACCCGAAACCGGGUGAUCUAUCCAUGGUCAGAGUGAAGUUGAAGUAAAAUUCAAUGGAGGCUCGAACCGGGUGCGGUUUAAAACGCAUCGGAUGAACUGUGGAUAGGGGCGAAAAACCAAACGAACCCGGAGAUAGCUGGUUCUCCUCGAAAUAGCUUUAGGGCUAGCCUCUGACCUAAGAUUUUAGGAGGUAGAGCACUGAAUGGUCUAGGGCGGAUUACCGUACCAAAACCUAUCAAACUCCGAAUGCCAAAAAAUCAAGUCAGGGAGUCAGACUUAGGGGGAUAAGCUUCUAAGUCGAAAGGGAAACAGCCCAGACCGACAGCUAAGGUCCCAAAAUUUGAAUUAAGUGGAAAAGGAUGUGAAUCUACUAAGACAACCAGGACGUUGGCUUAGAAGCAGCCAUGCAUUUAAAGAAUGCGUAAUAGCUCACUGGUCAAGUGGGUUUGCGCCGAAAAUGAACGGGGCUCAAAUUCAAUACCGAAGCUUCGGAUUAAUAGAGGGAUUAAGUUUACAAAUGAGACUAGGAAAUAUUUAACAAAAACAGAAGAGAUUAAAAAGAAAAACAAAUUUCAGACGCAGACAUAAAAGAUAGGAUAUUAAAGAAAAAUAUUCAAAAAAAAAACACAAGUCUAAAGUCAAAAGUGAGUAACAUAAGAAAUUAUGAACUAACAAUCACUGGUUAAGAGUUAAAAACUAGGACUCAUAGCUAAACUUAAUACCUCUAUUAGUGGUAGAGGAGCAUUGUAUUAGAGACGAAGCCAAGGCGAAAGCAAAAGUGGAUCUAAUACAAGAGAGAAUGCUGGCAUGAGUAGCGAGAAGGGAUGUGAGAAUCAUCCCCGUCGAAACCCUAAGGACUCCUGAGCAAGGCUCGUCCCCUCAGGGAAAGUCGGGACCUAAGCCAAGGCCGAAAGGCGUAGGCGAUGGAUAACAGGUUUAUAUUCCUGUACCGCUUGAAGUCGUUAAGAGAGAAGUGAUGACGCAAAAGGAUAAGCAAAGCCAUCAGAUGGAAAAGAUGGUCUAAAGCCGUAGGAAGAAAAGUAGGCAAAUCCGCUUUUCACAAAUUCUAAAAGCCGAUAGGUAUCGAAAACAUAAGUAGAGAAGUUGCCGAUUCCAGGUUGCCAAGAAAAGUCACUAUCCAGACCAAAGCGCCCGUACCAAAACCGACACAGGUAGGGAGGUAGAGAAUACCAAGACGCGCGGAAGAACCUUUGUUAAGGAACUCGGCAAAAUGUCCCCGUAACUUCGGGAGAAGGGGAGCCUGAGCAAUCAGGCCACAGAAACCAGGCCCAAGCGACUGUUUACCAAAAACACAAGUUUCUGCAAAAUCGCAAGAUGAAGUAUAGGAGCUGACACCUGCCCGGUGCUGGAAGGUUAAGGGGAAGGCUUAGAGCAAUCGAAGGCUAGAACUUAAGCCCCAGUAAACGGCGGCCGUAACUAUAACGGUCCUAAGGUAGCGAAAUUCCUUGUCGGGUAAGUUCCGACCCGCACGAAAGGUGUAACGAUUUGGG
rnacentral:rRNA from 1 species